UACGUAGGGGGCAAGCGUUGUCCGGAAUCAUUGGGCGUAAAGCGCGUGUAGGCGGCUUGGUAAGUCUGCUCUGAAAGCCCGGGGCUCAACCCCGGGAGGCGGGUGGAUACUGUCUAGCUCGAGUCCGGAAGAGGAGUGUGGAAUUCCUGGUGUAGCGGUGAAAUGCGCAGAUAUCAGGAGGAACACCAAUGGCGAAGGCAGCACUCUGGGACGGUACUGACGCUGAGACGCGAAAGCGUGGGGAGCGAACAGG
rnacentral:rRNA from 1 species